GAGCUUUGUUAGAGAACAUCAGGGAACAAACAAUAAAGCCAAUAAACCAGAUGAUGGAGACUGAGGAGAGCAGCACAAAGGUCAGGGAGAAAGCUGAGGAAAAGUUUGGUUAUCAAACAAUAAUCUGUCCGUUUCACAGAACUCAGCUCCACUUAUCUGGAAAUGAAAAUGAUUCAACUACCAAACUGCUCUGGAGGAGCUGCAGAGAUGCAGAUCUAAGCGUCUGAACAGUCAGCUGUGAUUUAUGGCGACACAAAAGGUUCUAGAAGCCCAAAAACCUGAAAGCCUCCAGGAGCUGCUGUGUUUCUGCUGCGGUUCUGGAUGUGUGGUCCGCUGCUUCUUUUGGCGUAAAACGAGCUGCAAUAAAAACUUGGACCUUUCAAGAAGCACAACACAGAGAGCAGAAGAAACCAAACCAGAAGCCAGCAGCGGCUGCUGCUGCAUACCAGCGUUCAUCAGCUGUUUUACAAAUCUCACUGGCAUCAAUUCCCCACUUUUUUCUUGCUUGCUUCGUUUAUUUCUUUGGAGAAUAGAGCUAUGCUAUAAGGUGCUAUUCUGUUGCCCAGACCUCCAGCUGACUUUCUUUUACCAGUGAAAAAGUAAAUGAAUGUAGUUAUUAUGAGAAAAAAAAAACACCUCUGUAAAUGUUUUGCAUCUGAAAUGAUGGAUAUUUAAUUUGAGAGUUCAAAGUUUGAACUAAGCAGAAAAUGAUGGCAGUUUUUAGAACGGCCCUCUGCUGGAUAGGAAAGCAAAUUACUGCAAAUGCACUCACAUCAGAGAAUGACGUAGUUAUUGAAAAUGACCUGAAGAUGGAAACGUGUUCUUAAUAAAUGCAUUGACGUCU